rnacentral:rRNA from 1 species
AACGUAGGAGACAAACGUUAUCCGGAGUUACUGGGCGUAAAGGGCGUGUAGGCGGUUAGUUAAGUCUGGCGUGAAAGCUCUCGGCUAAACCGGGAGAGGUCGUUGGAUACUGGCAAACUAGAGGACGGUAGAGGCGUGUGGAAUUCCGGGUGUAGUGGUGAAAUGCGUAGAGAUCCGGAGGAACACCAGUGGCGAAGGCGACACGCUGGGCCGUACCUGACGCUAAAGCGCGACAGCAUGGGGAGCAAACAGG